rnacentral:rRNA from 1 species
GAUGAACGCUGGCGGCGUGCUUAACACAUGCAAGUCGAACGAAGCACUUAAGAUUGAUUCUUCGGAUGAUUUCUUUUGUGACUUAGUGGCGGACGGGUGAGUAACGCGUGGGUAACCUGCCUCACACAGGGGGAUAACAGUUAGAAAUGACUGCUAAUACCGCAUAACCCGAUAGGAUCGCAUGAUCCAGACGGAAAAGAUUUAUCGGUGUGAGAUGGACCCGCGUCUGAUUAGCUAGUUGGUGAGGUAACGGCCCACCAAGGCAACGAUCUGUAGCCGGCCUGAGAGGGUGAACGGCCACAUUGGGACUGAGACACGGCCCAAACUCCUACGGGAGGCAGCAGUGGGGAAUAUUGCACAAUGGGGGAAACCCUGAUGCAGCGGCGCCGCGUGAGUGAAGAAGUAUUUCGGUAUGUAAAGCUCUAUCAGCAGGGAAGAAAAUGACGGUACCUGACUAAGAAGCCCCGGCUAACUACGUGCCAGCCGCCGCAGUAACAC